AGUGAACGCUGGCGGUAGGCCUAACACAUGCAAGUCGAACGGCAGCACAGUAAGAGCUUGCUCUUACGGGUGGCGAGUGGCGGACGGGUGAGGAAUACAUCGGAAUCUACUUUUUCGUGGGGGAUAACGUAGGGAAACUUACGCUAAUACCGCAUACGACCUACGGGUGAAAGCAGGGGAUCUUCGGACCUUGCGCGAUUGAAUGAGCCGAUGUCGGAUUAGCUAGUUGGCGGGGUAAAGGCCCACCAAGGCGACGAUCCGUAGCUGGUCUGAGAGGAUGAUCAGCCACACUGGAGGUGGAACACGGUCCAGACUCCUACGGGAGGCCGCAGUGGGGAAUAGUGGACAAUGGGCGCAAGCCUGAUCCAGCCAUACCGCGUGGGUGAAGAAGGCCUUCGGGUUGUAAAGCCCUUUUGUUGGGAAAGAAAAGCAGCAGGUUAAUACCCCGCUGUUCUGACGGUACCCAAAGAAUAAGCACCGGCUAACUUCGUG
rnacentral:rRNA from 1 species